AUAUUAAUAAGCGGAGGAAAAGAAACUAACAAGGAUUCCCCUAGUAACGGCGAGUGAAGCGGGAAGAGCUCAAGCUUAAAAUCUCUGCGCAAGUUUUGCGUGGCGAAUUGUAGUCUAUAGAAGCGUGGUCAGUGUGGGCUCUCGGGGUAAGUUCCUUGGAAGAGGAUAGCAUGGAGGGUGAAACUCCCGUUCAUACCUGAGUGGCUUGUGCGUACGACCCGUUUUCUUUGAGUCGCGUUGUUUGGGAAUGCAGCGCAAAGUAGGUGGUAAAUUCCAUCUAAAGCUAAAUAUUGGUGCGAGACCGAUAGCGAACAAGUACCGUGAGGGAAAGAUGAAAAGAACUUUGAAAAUAGAGUUAAAGAGUACCUGAAACUGCUGAAAGGGAACCGGAUCGUUUCCAGUGUCUAUAAUCCGUGGCAUAUUCCAUUGCCGAGUGUGUGCGUGUGUGGGUUUCGGCAGCGGCUUUGCGGCUGCGCUGUGCCUGUGCUGUGCGUGUGCUUGGUGGUGCCCUGUGCUGUGGUGGGACGUCAAGGUCAGUUCGUGUGCCGCGGGAAAUAUCUGCCGAGGAGGUAGGGCUUACGCUCCGCGUUUGUCUGUUAUAUCUUGGUGGACGAGUAGUCGCGGUUGGGACUGAGGUGCCUACAACGUGCUUUUGAGUGUGUGUGCCUCUCUGUGUGCGCGCCGUGCGAAUAGCUUGCUAUGCGUGUGGUGUUGUGUGUGGAUUGAGGCGUGCUGUAACUUGUUGCCGUUCGGGACGUUGACGAAAUGGAGCGAUUUGACCCGUCUUGAAACACGGACCAAGGAGUCUAACAUGUGU
rnacentral:rRNA from 1 species